AUGCAAGUCGAACGGUAACAGGCCGCAAGGUGCUGACGAGUGGCGAACGGGUGAGUAAUGCAUCGGAACGUGCCCAGUCGUGGGGGAUAACGCAGCGAAAGCUGCGCUAAUACCGCAUACGAUCUAUGGAUGAAAGCGGGGGACCGAAAGGCCUCGCGCGAUUGGAGCGGCCGAUGUCAGAUUAGGUAGUUGGUGGGGUAAAGGCUCACCAAGCCGACGAUCUGUAGCUGGUCUGAGAGGACGACCAGCCACACUGGAACUGAGACACGGUCCAGACUCCUACGGGAGGCAGCAGUGGGGAAUUUUGGACAAUGGGCGCAAGCCUGAUCCAGCAAUGCCGCGUGCAGGAAGAAGGCCUUCGGGUUGUAAACUGCUUUUGUACGGAACGAAACGGCGAGCUCUAAUACAGUUUGCUAAUGACGGUACCGUAAGAAUAAGCACCGGCUAACUACGUGCCAGCAGCCGCGGUAAUACGUAGGGUGCAAGCGUUAAUCGGAAUUACUGGGCGUAAAGCGUGCGCAGGCGGUUUUGUAAGACAGUCGUGAAAUCCCCGGGCUCAACCUGGGAAUUGCGAUUGUGACUGCAAAGCUGGAGUGCGGCAGAGGGGGAUGGAAUUCCGCGUGUAGCAGUGAAAUGCGUAGAUAUGCGGAGGAACACCGAUGGCGAAGGCAAUCCCCUGGGCCUGCACUGACGCUCAUGCACGAAAGCGUGG
rnacentral:rRNA from 1 species